GACGAACGCUGGCGGCGUGCCUAAUACAUGCAAGUCGAACGCAGUUGCGAACGGGUGAGUAACGCGUAGGUAACUGCCUCAUAGCGGGGGAUAACUAUUGGAAACGAUAGCUAAUACCGCCUACUGUGAGAUGGACCUGCGUUGUAUUAGCUAGUUGGUGAGGUAAAGGAUCACCAAGGCGACGAUACAUAGCCGACCUGAGAGGGUGGUCGGCCAAAAUGGGAAUGAGACACGGGCCCGAAUUCUUCGGGAGGCAGGCGGAGGGAAUUUUUGGCAAUUGACGGAAGUCCGAACGAGCAACGGCGGGGGAGGGAAGAAGGUUUUCGGGUUGGAAAGCUCUGUUGGUAGAGAAGCGGUAACUAACCAGAAAGGGACGGCUAACUACGUGCCAGCAGCCGCGGUAAUUC
rnacentral:rRNA from 1 species